GACGUGGUGGCGCAAUGGUAGCGCGUUCGACUCCAGAUCGAAAGGUUGGGGGUUCGAUUCCCUCUCGCGUCA
rfam:Guillardia theta CCMP2712 unplaced genomic scaffold GTITHscaffold_2, whole genome shotgun sequence.